CCAAUUCAAUAAAAAGGUUUUCAUUUUAUUUUUUUUAAAUCCCAUUUUGCAGCCAUAGAAUGAUCUUCAAGUCCAUCCAUGUCAAGUGAAAUAUGUUCAAGUUCUUCUGCCUUCACUCCCACUCCCUUGUGUUUGGGAAUUUUGACUUUCAUGUUAGUGGUACCUUCAUCUGUAAUUGCAUCUAGAAAGAGCUCAAAUGGUACAUGCUGUGGCUGGAAAUGCUGACCUGAAGGACACCUGCACAUCACAGAUGCCUUGGAGUGGAAGGGUCGUACUGAGCUGUUCCAUGGCUGGCCGCUGGCACUGGAACAAUGCUGGAGUAGCUGCAGGUGCCAGGGGUGUGUCUCACCAUGUCAGCCAAAGGUCUUUUGCUGGAAUAAAAGAGGAAGAUAUGGAGCUGCCCUCUCCCUGCAGCACCACUGCAGUCCCACACCAUGGGAUGGGAAGAGUCUCUGGGCAUGAUCCUGGGCCAGCAGGAAUGCUGUAAGGACGUGCUAGAAAGGAGCAGGUCAGCAGGAAUGCUGUAAGGACGUGCUAGAAAGGAGCAGGUUCAAGGAGCUUCUGUUUCCAGGCUGGCAAGAAG
rnacentral:lncRNA from 1 species